rnacentral:tRNA from 1 species
AGGGACUUAGGCUAGUACUAGACCAAGGGCCUUCAAAGCCCUAAGCGGGUGUGAGAAUCUCCCAGCCCCUG